rnacentral:rRNA from 1 species
AAGGUAGAUACUAAAAGGAUGGUUUUUUUAAAUGAAUUUGAAUUUUAUUUAAAAGUAAAAAGGCUUUUAUUAAAUUUUGGGACGAGAAGACCCUAGAAGUUUAUAAUAUAAAAUUUUUGAUUGGGGCAAUUAUUGAAGAUAAUUAUUUUUAAUAGGGUUAAAUUAAAGUAGAAGAAAUUACUCUAGGGAUAACAGCGUUAUUUAAUUAAUGAGUUCUUAUUAAGAAUUAAGUUUGCGACCUCGAUGUUGAAUUAAAUUAAAUGUAUGGUGAAGGGGCUAUGAUAUUUAGUCUGUUCGACUAUUAAAUUUUUACGUGAUCUGAGUUCAGACCGG